UUUGUGUAGGAAAAAUGAAGCCACCGCUACCGUAAUUAACGCUGCAAUUAAUCCGCAACCGUGCUCGUCCAGAUAUUUCGACGGGAUUUGUUGCGUCCGCACUGGUCAUUCGGAAGAAGAGGGCAAAUUAAAAUUUUAGAAUUUCAGCCAUGAUUCAGACAUUAGAAGGUUUUAUUUCUUAAAACGAGCAUUGGAACUGCAAGGCCAUGAGCCGACCACGCCGGUUGAUGCCGACAUUCCAAUAACAACGGGUAUUAAUUGGAUACGAAUUCUGGAAAUUUGAAUACGGCAAAUUAAGUAAGCACAAUUAACGAUUGAGAUUUAAAUGAGUUGUAGACCUGUCCGAUUGAGCUGGCCCUAAUCUCAAAAACAGCGCUCUUAAUUAACUUGAAUUUUGACACCGAUCCCGUAUUUUUAAGCCGCCUGGGAAAGACGUAAUUAAUUAAAGAAGUUUUUCGCAAGGUAAGCCGUCGAGCUGGGGAAAACCGCCGAUCCUGCUAUGGCACAGUCCAAUUUUAUAAGGUAAACGUUUGAUUUAGAGGGAAUCUUUUGAUUUUUACGUGUAACCGAAUAGCAAGCUUAUCUUUUGCUAUUUUUACUUGCCGUAAUACGUUUUAUUAAGUUUACCGCACCGUAUUUGGAUCUUUUUUCCUUUUGCACAUUCAUACCAAUGCCGAGCGAGCCGAAGGCGAGACCGACAUAAACCAACCGCUCUCCCGAAAUUUUGGACCGUGUUAUAGGGUUCCUGUCAUAAAACACAGAGUUCAUACCAAUGCCGAGCGAGCCGAAGGCGAGGUCAACAUAAACCGACCGCCCGUCCGAAAUUAUGGAGCGUGUUGGACGGUUUCAGGCACCAAACGUAUCCUACCAAUGCCGAGCGAGGUGCAGAGAAGAUCGGAACAAAUCAACCGCUCGUCCACAUUUAGGGGUCGGUAUACGGCUCCCGUUACAAAAUGCGAAGUAUAUACUAAUGCCGAAUGAGACGAAAGCGAGCUCUUGCUAUGGCGAGCUAUGUCGAUCUGUCACAACGAAAAUGGCUCACAUUUUUUUGCAUACCAUAGCUCUUCCGUAAAUAGCAAACGACAUCAAACAUCAAACCUAGUAAAAAACGACGAUUUUUGUAAAAACGUAGAAGUAUGUAAAAUGGUGAUUCAUUACCAUUAUAUUCCACGCGAAGCAUUUGUAAUUAAGAUUCCUUUAUUUAAUUGUCUGUCGAACGACUGCGUGCGUGGUAUGUGUAAAAAACAGGCCCAAGAGCCUCUCUCUUCUUCAGCUUUGUCAAUUUGUGUGAAUCUCGAAUAAAUAUAAUUUUAUUUGUCAAUGAACAAUUCUGUGUCUAAUCGAACCCGAAAUUUUACAACCAGGGUUGCUGCCCUGUCAAGUUAAAUUUGAUAUUCCUGUUUUGUGGGUGGCUUUGAGAUCGUUUGCUACUGCACACUACAAUAUAUGUUUAUAAUUUUGCUAGUAAUUAUGCAUCAAUAAAUAUAUUUUUGUA